UUUCUAUAUAGUUAUAAUCUGCAUCAGAAUUGAUAUUGCAAAUCUUAUAUGCAUAUCAACAAUUUUAAAAGUUGAAGUAGAGUUCGGUUAUGAAGCUGUUUUCAUUUCUCUCCUCAUAACUUCCAUCAGAAAGGAAUGUCUCCUGCCAAAAAUCUAACUUCUUCAUUCCUAAAUCUCUCUCAAACCCAUGGCAUGAGUUGUUUUCUCUCCUUUAAUACUUCUGAGUUCAGGGAAAUAUGGCUAUGGACACUAAUUUCAUCAGCAAAUUAUCAGCAACAAGAUGUGGAAAGAUACCAGAAGUCAGUUUUCGCUAGACUUGAUUCUGCAGGACGUAAAGGUCUCUUGCAGUGACGAAACCAGACAUUAUGAAAAGUCUGUUAUCCAUCGUGAGUGGCUACUUAAGGUGAAGGAUGUAUAUACUCUAGCGUACACAGGAUAAUUCUCCUUUCUAGAAAGAGAAAUCAGCUCGAACCAGCUUAAACGAGAAGGAUCGGUCAACGGUGUCUCGGGAAUGCUAGAACUAUUAAGAGUAUUUUGUUUGAAGCACUCCCCACAUUUAAUGAGGAUCAUCUCAUUUGCUGGAAAAUUCGUUUGGGGAACUCUGUAUUCGUUAAUGUUAUAUUGAAUUGUAUACCAACUCUUAUCACAAUUGCGUUGUGAAAAUGAUAA